rnacentral:rRNA from 1 species
UACGUAGGUGGCAAGCGUUGUCCGGAUUUACUGGGCGUAAAGGGCGUGCAGGCGGUUUGUUAAGUGCAGGGUGAAAGCUCCCGGCUCAACUGGGAGAGGUCCUUGCAUACUGGCAAACUCGAGGGAGGCAGAGGAAAGUGGAAUUCCCGGUGUAGUGGUGAUAUGCGUAGAUAUCGGGAAGAACACCGGUGGCGAAGGCGACUACCUGGCCCAUUCUUGACGCUGAGGCGCGAAAGCUAGGGGAGCGAACGGG